UACAGAGACUGCAAGCGUUAUUCGGAUUCACUGGGCGUAAAGGGUGCGCAGGCGGCCGUGUGUGUGCGGUGUGAAAGCCCGGGGCUCAACCCCGGAAUUGCACCUCAAACUACAUGGCUAGAGCAUUGGAGAGGGUAGCGGAAUUCACGGUGUAGCAGUGAAAUGCGUAGAUAUCGUGAGGAACACCAGAGGCGAAGGCGGCUCCCUGGACAAUUGCUGACGCUCAGGCACGAAAGCGUGGGGAGCAAAAGGG
rnacentral:rRNA from 1 species